CCUAUCUGGUUGAUCCUGCCAGUAGCAUAUGCUUGUUUCAAAGGCUAAGCCAUGCAUGUCUAAGUACAGCCGUGUUUACACGGCGAUACCGCGGACGGCUCAUUAAAUCAGUCGUGGUCCAAAUGGGUCCGUCCAUACGGUAUACUUGGAUAACCGUGGUAAUUCCAGAGCUAAUACAUGCAACUCAUAUCCCGAGGUGCGCAAGCACCGACGGAAGCACUUAUUAGACCAAUGCCCUCGGUCAUCGUUGCGCCUUGUGCGUAACGCUCUGCCGCCCGCAUAAAUGGUGACUCUGGAUAAUUACCUGGACGAGCGCACGUAUCUGUUCAAGCAGAACGGCGCCGCCGCUUUCGAGUGUCUGCCUUAUCAGCCAUCAAUCGCUCGUUAUGUGCGAACGGUGGCUUUGACGGGUAACGGGGAAUCAGGGUUCGAUUCCGGAGAGGCAGCCUGAGAAACGGCUACCACGUCUAAGGACGGCAGCAGGCACGCAAAUUACCCAAUCCCAGAACUCUGGGGAGGUAGUGACGAAAAAUAACGAUGCGGGCGCCCCUUCUGGGGCCCCGCAAUCGGAAUGAGUAUGUCUUAAAUAACCUGACGAGAACCCACUGAAGGGCAAGUCUGGUGCCAGCAGCCGCGGUAAUUCCAGCUUCAGUAGCAUCUAUUAAAGUUGCUGCGGUUAAAAGGCUCGCAGUUGGAGCCACUGGUGUUUGGUAUAUGGAGUAGCUGGACGUUGGGUACCUCCGUGUCCCCGUCCUGUAUGUCUGCUCCUGACUCUAUGGCACUGAAUAUGGGAAAUCCUCUUUCGGUCUGAGCGUUUGCUGCAGGUUGGAUGUCUCUCUUUCGUCGGGGUUCGGUUCGCGCCGUUCUCUCGGUGGGAGCAGGAGCUCCUCCUGUGUUCUUAUUCGGAAGGGGUGGCUCCUGUGUCACCUUGAGUAAAUCAUGGUGCUCACAGCAGUCGUGCGGGCCUCGUGCCCUGUGAACAGUCUAUGCGGACUGAAUUGGUUUUGCAAGGCAUGACGGAACAUGACGUCGCUGCUGGUCGCGGGUGGGAGCGUUCACAAUGCACGCUCGCGUGUGUGUCGUUCGCUCUGUGGUUUGCCAGUAGUGACGUAAUGAUCAAUGGGGACGGUAGCUGGCAUUGGUAUUGCGCGGCGAGAGGUGAAAUUCUGCGACCCCCGCAAGACCUCCUAAAGCGAAGGCGUCUGCCAAGGACGUGUUCACCAAUCAUGAACGAAAGUCAGAGGAUCGAAGGCGAUCAGAUACCGCCCUAGUUCUGACCCUAAACGAUGCCAACCAUCAAUCCGCGUGGGCACCCUAUCUAACGGGCUCGGCGGGCAGCUCCCCACUACCGGGAAACCAGAGUUUAUGGGUUCCGGGGGGAGUCUGGUUGCAAAGCUGAAACUUAAAGGAAUUGACGGAAAGGCACCACCAGGCGUGGAGCCUGCGGCUUAAUUUGACUCAACGCGGGCCAUCUUACCAGGCCAGCACUCUGGCAUGAUUGACAGAUUGAGAGCUCUUUCUCGAUUCAGUGGACGGUGGUGCAUGGCCGUUCUUAGUUGGUGGAGUGAUCUGUCUGGUUAAUUCCGAUAACGAACGAGACUCUCCUCUGCUAAAUAGUCGGCUGGAUCUUGAAUUGCUGAGCUGCUCACGGCCUCGUUCGCGCGUGUGUCGGCUGCGUGGUUUUGGUGUGUGCUUUGCGGGUGUUUCGUUGCGCGCCUUCCUUCGGGGAGUGCGUUUGCGCGUGCGCUCGUGGGUCGCGCCUGCCGCGUUGGUUGUGCGCGUUGUCGGGCGGGUGUCUGUGGCACUCCAAGUCCGUCGGCUCACACCCGAUAUUGCUCGGGUUGUGUGGUGCAAGUUCUUCUUAGAGAGAUUGACGGCUCUGAAGCCGUACGAGAAUGAGAGCAAUAACAGGUCUGUGAUGCCCUCAGAUGCCCUGGGCCGCACGCGCGCUACAAUGCUGGACACAGCAGGUCUAACCUGCUCCGAGAGGAGCGGGUAACCCUGUCAAAGUCCUGAGUUGUAUAUCGGGCACCACUUUCGUGGUGCAUUGGGCGUGCUUGGGCCUGGGGCUUGCAAUUUUUUCCCACAAACAAGGAAUGCCUUGUAGUAGCGAGUCACUGAGCUCGCUGUGACUCAGUCCCUGCCCUUUGGACACACCGCCCGUCGCUACUACCGAUUGGGUGUACCAGUGAGACCCUUGACUGGCGUCCGGUGCCUCUGGCACCUGGGUCUGACGGAAAGAGGUUCGAACUGGUGCACUUAGAGGAAGUAAAAGUCGUAACAAGGUUUCCGUAGGUGAACCUGCGGAAGGAUCAUUA
rnacentral:rRNA from 1 species